GGCCCGUUCGUCUAGCGGUUCAGGACGCCGCCCUCUCACGGCGGUAACACGGGUUCGAAUCCCGUACGGGCUA
rnacentral:tRNA from 1 species